CAAAGGAUCGAUCGUGAUCCUCGAUGUGUUGUGAGCACACCGAUCACGGUAACAGACGUCUCCUGAACUCGCAAUUUACUUAGGCACGUACAAUUAGGCGAGGAAUUUAGCGAACUCUAUUCUUUUUAAGAAAAAAAAACCUUUAAAAGGAGACAUUAUAUUGAUCGUAACUGCUAGAAAUUCAAACGAAAAACCACACACAAGAUGAUGAGUUUUAAAAGAAAUUUGUUAUUCGUACUUGUUGUUUUUAACAUGUUUACCUUGGGAUACCUGUGUUGGACAAGCUACUCAGUACCUAAUUGGAGGUCUCAUGUUUCUUUCACAUCAAACACAUCGAACAGGAACCCCCCAGAUUCAGUAUAUGCACGAGAUAAUGUUUUUCAAAAGGAUGACACGAUUGUCAACUCUUCUCAUACGGGGACUGCGGAGGAAAUGGAAAUAAUUGGGAACUUUAUCAAGACUGCAUGGAAACAUGCAGUCAAUAAUAUUUAUAUAUAAUACUUUAUAUAUAACAAUGGCGCAUAUUUUAAAUCUAUUCCACAAUAUAAAAUUCUAUAAAACAUAACAUUUUUGAGAGUUUCCCAUAUAUUGAUAUAUGUUUGUAAUAGUUUGAUAUUGAGUUUAAAUUGAAGUAAUAAAAAAAGACUGUGUUAAGUUUUUAUAAAAUAC